rnacentral:lncRNA from 1 species
GAGCCAGUGGCCCGCCAGUCCAGCUGUGAUGCCACCAUCAUGCAUAGUCACAAUGAUUACAUCCAGAGGCUCAAGCAGCUGCAGCUGGAGAGCCAGAAGCUGAUUGAUGAAGGCCUGAGCCCUGGGCUGAAUAAGACCAGGCAGAAUUUCUGGCAAUCACCUCAGACCAGCUCUAGGGUGAAGAAGCUCAGCCUUCAGAAAACUAGCCUGUCCAACAGGUCCAGCUUCUCCAGCCUUUCCUCAACAACCACUUCCCCUUCAGCGUCCUCACUAAGCUCCUUAGACAGUGCUUUCUCCUACUGCUCUGAGUCCUCAGCCUUCAGCCCCACAGAUGUCUCCUCCCUGCCUUUCAUGUUUGGCACUUCCACCCGACUCCAUGCCUUGUCGCCAAAGACAGCACAGAGGUCCCUGAAAGAAUGGAAAAAGCCCUUGAUAUCUCCUUUGCCCUUGAACCCUUGUGACUUGGACUCAUGGAGCAAGUCUGAGCACAGGGACAUGGGGAGCAGUCAUACCAUUGGGGAAGUGAAGGGCUUUGUGCCCAUCAAUGGGGCAGCCAUGGGAAGCCUGUUAAAUGAGAGUGACUGGGAGGAAGAGGAAAGACAAGUGAGAUGUGCCAGGGGUUCUGGACAAGCUCUCAGAAACCAAUGUUAUUUCAAGGAGUCUGAAUGUAAAACAGACCCCCCAACUCAUAUCCCAACCAAUGAGAGCUCAUCAGCGACUGACAAGCAAGGGCCCAGGGAGAAAUCAGUUAAACACAUUGAGAUAAAAGGCCCGGAGGUUUCCCCUCCCAGGCAGGAAAGCCUGAAGCGCACCAAGAUAACCUUUUACAUGGCCCCAAAUAAAGGAAGCCCACAGGGGUCUCCAAUGGAACAGGAGGAUGAGGGUUUCUCAGUGAGCGUCCAUAGCACCAAAUCAAACAGCAGCAGUGACCAAAACACGUCCAAGAGUCAACAAACAGUAAGAGUCCAUAUACCCCAGACAGUGUUUUAUGGGCAGAACACCCCUUUGGUGCUGCAGUCUGUCUCCCGGAGAUACCAUCACGAAGCAACGAGCCAGCGGCUGCAGGUGGAGUGCAAAGAGACUCCCCAAAGCAUUCCCCCUGCAGAGGGGCUGAUGGAUGAUGCUCAGCAAGUGGCAUCUGCCAAAAGCCACAGGAAGAGCAUCAAUGCCUUCAGCCACACCAUCCGCAUCAUCCUC